rnacentral:rRNA from 1 species
AUUGAACGCUGGCGGCAGGCCUAACACAUGCAAGUCGAGCGGAGCGGCGGACGGGUGAGUAAUGCCUAGGAAUCUGCCUGGUAGUGUGGGAUAACGUCCGGAAACGGGCGCUAAUACCGCAUACUAUCAGAUGAGCCUCGGUCGGAUUAGCUAGUUGGUGGGGGAAAGGCCUACCAAGGCGACGAUCCGUAACUGGUCUGAGAGGAUGAUCAGUCACACUGGAACUAAGACACGGUCCAGACUCCUACGGGAGGCAGCAGUGGGGAAUAUUGGACAAUGGGCGAAAGCCUGAUCCAGCCAUGCCGCGUGUGUGAAGAAGGUCUUCGGAUUGUAAAGCACUUUAAGUCGGGAGGCGUUACCGACAGAAGAAGCACCGGCUAACUCCGUGCCAGCAGCCGCGGUAUAC